CCUACGGGUGACUGCAGUGAGGAAUAUUGGUCAAUGGUCGGGAGACUGAACCAGCCAAGCCGCGUGAGGGAUGAAGGUACAGAGUAUCGUAAACCUCUUUUGUCAGGGAACAAAGGCGGGGACGUGUCCCCGGAUGAGUGUACCUGAAGAAAAAGCAUCGGCUAACUCCGUGCCAGCAGCCGCGGUAAUACGGAGGAUGCGAGCGUUAUCCGGAUUUAUUGGGUUUAAAGGGUGCGCAGGCGGUCUGUUAAGUCAGCGGUCAAAGCCCGGGGCUCAACCCCGGCCCGCCGUUGAUACUGGCAGCCUUGAGUACAGUUGAGGUAGGCGGAAUGCGUGGUGUAGCGGUGAAAUGCUUAGAUAUCACGAAGAACUCCGAUUGCGAAGGCAGCCUACUAAACUGCCACUGACAUUGAUGCUCGAAAGUGUGGGUAUCAAACAGGAUUAGAUACCCUUGUAGUC
rnacentral:rRNA from 1 species